CUACAGAGGGUGCGAGCGUUAAUCGGAAUUACUGGGCGUAAAGCGCGCGUAGGCGGCUUAUUAAGUCAGAUGUGAAAUCCCCGGGCUCAACCUGGGAACUGCAUCUGAUACUGGUAAGCUAGAGUUUUGGAGAGGGAAGUAGAAUUUCAGGUGUAGCGGUGAAAUGCAUAGAGAUCUGAAGGAAUACCAGUGGCGAAGGCGACUUCCUGGCCAAAAACUGACGCUGAGGUGCGAAAGCGUGGGUAGCAAACGGGAUUAGAUACCCUAGUAGUCC
rnacentral:rRNA from 1 species